rnacentral:rRNA from 1 species
AUUGAACGCUGGCGGCAGGCCUAACACAUGCAAGUCGAGCGGAUGAAGGGAGCUUGCUCCUGGAUUCAGCGGCGGACGGGUGAGUAAUGCCUAGGAAUCUGCCUGGUAGUGGGGGAUAACGUCCGGAAACGGGCGCUAAUACCGCAUACGUCCUGAGGGAGAAAGUGGGGGAUCUUCGGACCUCACGCUAUCAGAUGAGCCUAGGUCGGAUUAGCUAGUUGGUGGGGUAAAGGCCUACCAAGGCGACGAUCCGUAACUGGUCUGAGAGGAUGAUCAGUCACACUGGACCUGCGACACGGUCCAGACUCCUACGGGAGGCAGCAGUGGGGAAUAUUGGGCCAUGGGCGAAAGCCUUAUCCAGCCAUACCGAGUGUGUGAAGAAGGUCUUCGGAUUGUAAAGCACUUUAAGUUGGGAGGAAGGGCAGUAAGUUAAUACCUUGCUGUUUUGACGUUCCCAACAGAAUAAGCACCGGCUACCUUCGUG